rnacentral:rRNA from 1 species
GAUGAACGCUGGCGGCGUGCCUAAUACAUGCAAGUCGAACGAAACUUCUUUAUCACCGAGUGCUUGCACUCACCGAUAAAGAGUUGAGUGGCGAACGGGUGAGUAACACAUGGGCAACCUGCCCAAAAGAGGGGGAUAACACUUGGAAACAGGUGCUAAUACCGCAUAACCAUAGUUACCGCAUGGUAACUAUGUAAAAGGUGGCUAUACUACCGCUUUUGGAUGGGCCCGCGGCGCAUUAGCUAGUUGGUAGGGUAAAGGCUUACCAAGGCAAUGAUGCGUAGCCGAAUUGAGAGGUUGAUCGGCCACAUUGGGACUGAGACACGGCCCAAACUCCUACGGGAGGCAGCAGUAGGGGAUCUUCCACAAUGGGCGAAAGCCUGAUGGAGCAACGCCGCGUGGGUGAAGAAGGUCUUCGGAUCGUAAAACCCUGUUGUUAGAGAAGAAAGUGCGUGAGAGUAACUGUUCACGUUUCGACGGUAUCUAACCAGAAAGCCACGGCUAACUACGUG